rnacentral:rRNA from 1 species
CCCUUAGAUGUUCUGGGCCGCACGCGUGCUACACUGAGUAAUUCAAUGGGUAAGGGAACGCUAGAGCAUUACCUAAUCUUGAAAUUUGCUCGUGAUGGGGAUCGACGGUUGCAAUUUUCCGUCGUGAACGAGGAAUACCUUGUAGGCGCAUGUCAUCAUCAUGCGCCGAAUACGUCCCUGCCCUUUGUACACACCGCCCGUCGCUCCUACCGAUUGAGUGAUCCGGUGAGGCUCUGGAACCUGGACGGAAAGAGCGUUUCGCUUGUUCUGUUUGGGAAACUUGGUCGAACCUUAUCAUUUAGAGGAAGGAGAAGUCGUAACA